rnacentral:rRNA from 1 species
AGAGCGAACGCUGGCGGCAGGCCUAACACAUGCAAGUCGAACGGACCCUUCGGGGUUAGUGGCGGACGGGUGAGUAACACGUGGGAACGUGCCUUUAGGUUCGGAAUAGCUCCUGGAAACGGGUGGUAAUGCCGAAUGUGCCCUUCGGGGGAAAGAUUUAUCGCCUUUAGAGCGGCCCGCGUCUGAUUAGCUUGUUGGUGGGUAAUGGCCCACCAAGGCUACGAUCAGUAGCUGGUCUGAGAGGAUGACCAGCCACAUUGGGACUGAGACACGGCCCAAAUCCUACGGAGGCAGCAGUGGGAAUCUUGCGCAAUGGGCGAAAGCCUGACGCAGCCAUGCGCGUGUAUGAUGAAGGCCUUAGAUUAGUAAAAUAUUUACGACCGUAGAAGAAUAAUGACUGUAGCCGGAAGAAGAACGCCCCGG